GUGUCUGUUUUGUUUUGUCUUUGUGCUUCAGAAUGCAUGCGGCGUAGAGGGCAAAAUGAUGUGCGCGCGCCGCGGGCGGCGCGCGCACGGUGCGGUGCACAGGGGGGGGCAGAAAGGCGCGGAUACAGUGAUGAUCCUUCCGCAGGUUCACCUACGGAAA
rnacentral:misc_RNA from 1 species